GCCAGACUCCUACGGGAGGCAGCAGUGAGGAAUAUUGGUCAAUGGGCGCGAGCCUGAACCAGCCAAGUAGCGUGAAGGAUGACUGCCCUAUGGGUUGUAAACUUCUUUUAUAUGGGAAUAAAAUGUUCCACGUGUGGGAUUUUGUAUGUACCAUAUGAAUAAGGAUCGGCUAACUCCGUGCCAGCAGCCGCGGUAAUACGGAGGAUCCGAGCGUUAUCCGGAUUUAUUGGGUUUAAAGGGAGCGUAGGUGGAUUGUUAAGUCAGUUGUGAAAGUUUGCGGCUCAACCGUAAAAUUGCAGUUGAUACUGGCAUCCUUGAGUACAGUAGAGGUAGGCGGAAUUCGUGGUGUAGCGGUGAAAUGCUUAGAUAUCACGAAGAACUCCGAUUGCGAAGGCAGCCUGCUGGACUGUAACUGACGCUGAUGCUCGAAAGUGUGGGUAUCAAACAGGAUUAGAUACCCUAGUA
rnacentral:rRNA from 1 species